GACGAACGCUGGCGGCGUGCUUAACACAUGCAAGUCGAACGGAAAGGCCCUGCUUUUGUGGGGUGCUCGAGUGGCGAACGGGUGAGUAACACGUGAGUAACCUGCCCUUGACUUUGGGAUAACUUCAGGAAACUGGGGCUAAUACCGGAUAGGAGCUCCUGCUGCAUGGUGGGGGUUGGAAAGUUUCGGCGGUCGGGGAUGGACUCGCGGCUUAUCAGCUUGUUGGUGGGGUAGUGGCUUACCAAGGCUUUGACGGGUAGCCGGCCUGAGAGGGUGACCGGCCACAUUGGGACUGAGGUACGGCCCAGAGUCCUACGGGGGGCAGCAGUGGGGAAUAUUGCACAAUGGGCGGAAGCCUGAUGCAGCAACGCCGCGUGCGGGAUGACGGCCUUCGGGUUGUAAACCGCUUUCGCCUGUGACGAAGCGUGAGUGACGGUAAUGGGUAAAGAAGCACCGGCUAACUACGUG
rnacentral:rRNA from 1 species